UACGUAGGUGGCAAGCGUUGUCCGGAUUUACUGGGCGUAAAGGGCGUGCAGGCGGUCUGUUAAGUGCAGGGUGAAAGCUCCCGGCUCAACUGGGAGAGGUCCUUGCAUACUGGCGGACUUGAGGGGGGUAGAGGAAAGUGGAAUUCCCGGUGUAGUGGUGAUAUGCGUAGAUAUCAGGAGGAACACCGGUGGCGAAGGCGGGUCUCUGGGCAGUAACUGACGCUGAGGAGCGAAAGCGUGGGGAGCGAACAGG
rnacentral:rRNA from 1 species